rnacentral:tRNA from 1 species
GAGGGUACAGCUCAGCGGUAGAGCGUGUGCUUAGUGUGCAUGAGGUCCUGGGUUCAGUCCCCAGCAUUUCCA